rnacentral:ncRNA from 1 species
UCCGCCGAAUUUAAGCAUAUAAUUAAGCGGAAGAAAAGAAAAUAACAAUGAUUCCUUUAGUAACGGCGAGUGAACAAGGAAAAGCUCAAAAGGAAAAUCCGCUUUGUGGUUAAAACCGCAGUGUGGAAUUGUCUGGUUGGGAUUUAGUCCUUUCUAUGUUUUUGUUGGGUGCGAAAUUAGUAGGAAUACUAUUCCUUAGAGGGUGAAAGGCCCGUAGUUCCUAACAAUUAUAGAUGGACUGUUUCCUGUAGAGUCGUGUUCUUUGAGAUUGGAGCACAAAUGUGUGUGAUACAUUUCACAUAAAGCUAAAUAUUUGUAGGAGACCGAUAGCAAACAAGUACCGUGAGGGAAAGAUGAAAUAGUACUCAGGAAUGAGGUUUAAAUAGUACCUGAAAUCGUUAAGAUGGAACGGAUUGAGAGAGAAAUAACGUAAGAUGGGAUUUAUUUCUAUGUUUCUUUUGGAUUCAUGUUUUAAUUUCUAUCUUAUUAAAAGGAGCAUCAGUGAAUUUUUGCAUUUGCAUUAUAGUUAAAGGGUUAUUUUUGCUUAUGUAAAGAUAUCGCAUUUCCUUCCGCUAAUAUGGUUGGAAAAAUAACUAUUAUUGCUUGCUAUGUUUACUGAGGAUAUCAAUUAGCUGGGGUUGCCCCUGUUAAUUUAUGUUGCUUCUAAAAAGUACUUUCUUAACCCACUCGUCUUGAAACACGG